UAUGUGUCAGACAUUAACGGUAUAUAUUGACAUGUGUCAGACAUAUUAACGGUAUAUAUUGACAUGUGUCGGACAUAGUAACGGUAUAUAUUGACAUGUGUCGGACAUAUUAACGGUAUACAUUGACAUGUGUCGGGCAUAUUAACGGUAUAUAUUGACAUGUGUCGGACAUUAACGGUAUAUAUUGACAUGUGUCGGGCAUAUUAAUGGUAUACAUUAACAUGUGUCAGACAUAUUGACGGUAUAUAUUGACAUGUGUCGGGCAUAUUAACAGUAUAUAUUAACAUGUCUCGGACAUAUUAACGGUAUAUAUUGACAUGUGUCGGGCAUAUUGACGGUAUAUAUUGACAUGUGUCGGAAACAUUAACAGUAUAUAUUAACAUGUGUCGGACAUAUUAACAGUAUAUAUUAACAGGGUUAGGGUCAUCAGCUCAUUGUCGUCGCUCACUUCUCAUCAGAGGCAGACCAUUAUAUCAGAAAGUACAAUGACAAGAAUCUUCCUGCUGGUCUUAAUUGACUGAAGCUCCUCCAGUCAGUGUUACUCUCAGCAGCUCAGAUUCUGGAGGGUCCCCUUUAUACACAGUAAAUUAAUAUAUGUGUGUAUAAAGUAUUAUGUUCAUUCAUGUUAACUCUCUUUGUGUUUAGUUUUUCAGUUCUUCCUGUUCUUCUGGAGACUUCGAUCUGGACAGUUUGGAAACUCUGCUGUCUGAAGAAGUCUCUAAUGGAGGUGUGGAAAGCACCAUGAACACAGGGAAGCAGCUCGUGCAGUACACGCCCACACCCAUCCUGAUGUCUGAACCAAUCAGCACCGACCUGCCCUCCCUCCUAGAGCUGGAGGCGGGGCCUUUCUUCAUCUCUGACCCGCCCACCGAUGACCCUGCUGCCGCUCUGCUAAGCCAUGCCCACCUGGACUCUGACCUCUGACAUCUGCAGGAAAGGGCGUGGCAUGUGAUUUAUCGGUCACCAUGGCAACAGGACUCAGCAGCAGCGAUAGGAUGAAAUCGAUCUGUUGAUCGAUCAAGUUAUAUUAUGCAGAUUAAUAUUAACCAGUUUAUAUACCUGUCUUCUUCUACUCUUUUAUUUAGCGUUUGUUUUUUCUUCUUUGCUGCUUUUAUUAAAAAGUUUGUUUGACGCUUGCUGUUAAAAACACCUGUAGUCCAAUCAGAACAGGUCUGAGGAUCAUGUGACUUCUGCAUGUCUUUGUUUUCAUGUGUCAAAUAUAGAAGAUGAAGAGAA